rnacentral:rRNA from 1 species
AACGAACGCUGGCGGCGUGCCUAACACAUGCAAGUCGUGCGAGAAAGUUCCUUCGGGAGCGAGUAAAGCGGCGCACGGGUGAGUAACACGUAGGUAACCUGCCCCCCAGUCUGGAACAACUAGAGGAAACUCUAGCUAAUGCCGGAUGAGACCACGAUCCCUUCGGGGGUUGCGGCCAAAGAUGGCCUCUACUUGUAAGCUAUCGCUGAGGGAUGGGCCUGCGGGCCAUUAGCUUGUUGGUGAGGUAACGGCUCACCAAGGCUGUGAUGGCUAGCUGGUCUGAGAGGAUGACCAGCCACACUGGGACUGAGACACGGCCCAGACUCUUACGGGAGGCAGCAGUGGGGAAUAUUGCGCAAUGGGCGAAAGCCUGACUCAGCGACGCCGCGUGGGUGAUGAAGGCCU